CACGCCCACCGGAUGCGGAAAGGUCCGUUGAGACGUUAACGAGCACGUGGAGUUACUUCUUUGGCAUACCUGAUAGUGAGAAAUACAUCACAAAAUAGAGCCACAUUCCCAUGCUCUGAGAUUCUUAUGCACCUCCUCAACAAUACAUGUGACGUGUAUGUGGCAGUGCAAACAUUGUGUUACCAGAGAGAGCAGUAGGUACAAAUUACUUCAACAUUAUAAACUACAUCAUCAUUACGGAAUAGGUCAACAUUAUCUGUGCAUAUAUGUUAAUUGUCCGUGCACAUUUAAGACUUGGAGUGGACUGAACACUCAUGUCUAUAAAGCUCAUUCAUCUCAGUUUACACAGACAGCUUCAAGUUCAGUAACUUUUAAAUGUGAGUUAUGUGACUGCAGUGACAUCUUCUCUGAGAGAGAUUUUUUUGUCCAUAUUGGAACACAUCUGCGAAGUAACGAGACAGUUAGUUGUGUGUUUCUUGGUUGCCCUUUCAAGACAAAUAUUUACAAUACAUUUUAUACACACAAAAAGAGGAAGCAUCAUCCACACACACUUAAAGAUUUUAAAGGCAGUGUAGUUACAUGUGUGGACCCAGUUCAAGUGAUAGAGUCCUCUGAUAACGUAAGGGCUACCUGUUCUGCAGAUGUAUCCUAUGGUGAAUUUGAAAGUGAGUCAGUGACAGAAUGUGAUAAUAGUGCUGUUGAAAAUCAGCCAGAACUAAUUGAACGGAAAUUAGCAGUAAUAUUGUUGAAAUUGGAACACAUAUUUCAUGUUCCAGCAAAAGGAUUAGAUGAGUUCUUAGAGGAGUUAGUUUU